GAAAGCUGACCAGCACAGUGCCCUUGAUAUAAUAUGAUGAAAAUGGCACUUUACCUUUAUAGUUUUUCAUGAGAAAUGCAUCGGACAAAUCCCAAUAGAGGUUAUCCUAUGAAACACUUAUCCAGUACUCCUCAGAACUGUCAAAGUCAUUAAAGCCAAGAUAAGUCUGAGAAACUGUCACAGACCAGAGGAAUCAAAGGAGACAUGAAGACUAAAUGUGGUGUGGAGUGCUGAAUGGAGUCCUGGAACAGAGAAAAGACAUUAGCUUAUAGCUACUUGGAAACCAUGGGACCUUGGAUCAUCUCUACAAAGAUAAAGAUGCCAGGACAAUUUAAAGAGAUGGGAAAAUGCUAGGAAUCAGCUGGUACCUGGUGGCCAAGGAACAGCUGAUGCUUCCUUGGCAAAUUUUGAUGAUAGACAAGCACAGCAUGCAUAGCCUGAGAAUCGCAGGGCGACCAGUUCACCCACCAGAAGACAGAAGCUCCACACAAGAGAGAUUAAGUACAGCAACUUGCCUAAGACCACACUGUUCAGUGAAGAACUUGGACUUGACCCAGGUCUUACUCGCUGAAUCAAGUGGCAGGGUGAGCCUGCAGGAUUCACAGAAGUGUAUCACACUAUCGCAGGUUUGGGACAUCAUUAGACACCAGGGAAAUACAAACCCUAACCACAAGAUACCACUUCAUCCCUAUAGGGAUGCCAAGAAGAGAAAAAUCAGAUAAUAACAACAAGUGUUGGAAAGGA